rnacentral:rRNA from 1 species
GACGAACGCUGGCGGCGUGCUUAACACAUGCAAGUCGAACGGAAAGGCCCUGCGCUUGUGGGGUGCUCGAGUGGCGAACGGGUGAGUAACACGUGAGUAACAUGCCCUUGACUUUGGGAUAAAUUCAGGGAACUGGGGCUAAUACCGCGUAGGAGCUCCUGCAGCACGGGGUGGGUUGGAAAGUGUCGGCUGUGGGGGAUGGACUCGCGGGUUUGCAGCUUGUUGGGGGGGUAGUGACUUACUAAGGCUUUGAGGGGUAGCCGACCUGAGAGGGGGAUCGGCCGCAUUAGAGCUGGGCCGGCCACCAUGCGCCUGAGAUACGCCCCAGACUCCUACGUGCGGCAGUAGGGGGGAAUAUUGCGCAACGGGCGGAAGCCUGAGGUAGCAACGCCGCGUGCGGGAUGACGUGUUUCGGGUUGUAAACCGCUUUCGCCUGUGACGAGGCGUGAGUGACGGUAACGAGUCAGAAAGCACCGGCUAACUACGUG